ACAACGAAUGAAUAAAUGUUUGAGGUGUUGGAUACCCCAUUUACCCUCAUGUACUAUUACACGUUGUAUGCCUGUAUCAAUGUAUCUCAUGUGCUUUCUAAAUAAAUAUACCUACUAUGUACCCACAAAUAUUAAAAAUUAAAAAAAUAUAUUAUUUUAUGACUUAAUAUUAAGAGACAAAUUCUUACUUUUAAGAGGACUAAAAAUCAGAAGGUUUUCAAUCACCAAGUACAAACCAAAUAAAAAAUAUAGUUACAAGCACUGGGGCAGCUUGAAUGGCUGUUUGUCAACCUUAGUGUUCUGCGUUAGAGAAAAUGUGCCAAUCAUCACAGAUGUCUUUACAAUGAAUAUGAGUUCACCACUUUUAGUGAUUAGAUUUUAGAGAGUAACAUCCAAAACAGUGAAUAAUAAAUGAAAAAUAUACUUCAGGCUUAUCACCUUUUCAAAAUAAAAAAUCAAUGUGGGUGGAGUACAAAACUGAUAAUAUUUAAUACCUAUACAUAAAAUGCCUUUGGUGCUAUGUAUAUUGAUUGUAAUGUUUAUGAAACUGCCUUUGCAAAAUUAUAACAGCAAGAGAAAUGUGACAUAGUUGACCCCAUCUUGCUUCUGAUCUCCAAGCUGUUUUUGGUUAUUCCUGGGUAUAGGCCAAGCUAAAUUUAGCAGAAAUUUAGUUUAUAGUUUAACUUAAAAGCAAGGGUGAUAAUAGUCCUUCUUUAAAAAAUAACCCCCUCCUUGCUGAAAACAGCCUU
rnacentral:lncRNA from 1 species